rnacentral:rRNA from 1 species
UACGGAGGGGGCAAGCGUUACCCGGAUUUACUGGGUGUAAAGGGUCCGCAGGCGGUUAAGCAAGUCAGUUUUUAAAUACUCUGGCUCAACCAGAGAAUUGGAACAGAUACUGCUUAACUAUGAGUCUAGAGGGGGAAAACGGAACUGCCGGUGUAGCGGUGAAAUGCGUAGAUAUCGGCAGGAACACCUGUGGCGAAGGCGGUUUUCUACUCUGGUACUGACGCUCAUGGACGAAAGCGUGGGGAGCGAUCGGGAUUAGAUAC